GACGCCCGUGCCGUGGAUUUGCACACGCCGAUUGACAGCGGCUGCGGCCAAUGAGGAGGCGGAGAGGGUGUUGAAUGGGGCGAUGUAGAAUGUGGUGAAAUGAUACAGUGUCGCUGUGACAGACUGUGUUACUGUAGCAAGCUCUGGGACAAGUAUCCGAGUGCUCAGCUGGCUUUGCAACUGGUAUACAUGUAGCAACAGGAACAACAAUAAGACAGCUCUGUCUCCCAACCUUCUUCCCCCCCCCACCCCAAACCCACCCUCCUUUCAAGAGGGUCAAGAUGUCGGUUGCCGGCUUGAAGAAGCAAUUCCAUAAAGCCAGUCAGAUAUGCCACUCCCCAAAAGCAGCAAGCCACUUCCUGAAUGACGAGUCUCACCCCAACAUUGAGCCUCAUCCAAGAUUGAAGCAGACAUCAGAACAGUUUAUCUGGCUGUAAUCUCAUUGUUGCUUGUAGAAGCUUGCUGUGCAUAAAUUGACUCCCAUGUUUCCAAAUGUGACUACACUUCAAAAGUAUUUAAUUGGCUGUGAAGUGCAUUGGAUCAUUUUAGAGGUCAUGAAAGGCGCUGUUUAGAUGUAACUUUUCUCUUUACAGAUACUGAAUAAAUUAUAUCUAUUUUCUGUUGUGUACACCAAA